UUGCCUCAGUAACGGCGAGUGAAGCGGCAAUAGCUCAAAUUUGAAAUCUGGCUCUUUCAGGGUCCGAGUUGUAAUUUGUAGAGGAUGCUUCGGCUUACGCCCCGGUCUAAGUUCCUUGGAACAGGACGUCACAGAGGGUGAGAAUCCCGUAUGUGGCCGGCGGCUUCCGCCAUGUGAAGCUCCUUCGACGAGUCGAGUUGUUUGGGAAUGCAGCUCUAAAUGGGAGGUAAAUUUCUUCUAAAGCUAAAUACCGGCCAGAGACCGAUAGCGCACAAGUAGAGUGAUCGAAAGAUGAAAAGCACUUUGGAAAGAGAGUUAAAAAGUACGUGAAAUUGUUGAAAGGGAAGCGCUUGCGACCAGACUUGCCCGCAGUUGUUCCAUUGGUCCUCCGGCCUUUGUAUUCUUCUGCGGUCAGGCCAGCAUCAGUUCGGGCGGUCGGAUAAAGGCCUUGGGAAUGUAGCUCUCUUCGGGGAGUGUUAUAGCCCUCGGUGCAAUACGGCCCGCCUGGACUGAGGACCGCGCUUCGGCUAGGAUGCUGGCGUAAUGGUCGUAAGCGGCCCGUCUUGAAACACGGACCAAGGAGUCUAACAUCUAUGCGAGUGUUUGGGUGUCAAACCCGUGCGCGAAAUGAAAGUGAACGGAGGUGGGAACCUUAGGGUGCACCAUCGACCGAUCCUGAUGUCUUCGGAUGGAUUUGAGUAAGAGCAUAGCUGUUGGGACCCGAAAGAUGGUGAACUAUGCCUGAAUAGGGUGAAGCCAGAGGAAACUCUGGUGGAGGCUCGCAGCGGUUCUGACGUGCAAAUCGAUCGUCAAAUUUGGGUAUAGGGGCGAAAGACUAAUCGAACCAUCUAGUA
rnacentral:rRNA from 1 species